AUGGCCAUGGCGAACAACCCCACGAACAAGGGCCGGUCGCUGCCCAAGUUCGGGGAGUGGGACGUGAAGAACCCGGCCACGGCCGACGGCUUCACCGUCAUAUUCCAGAGAGCCCGCGACGACAAGAAGACGACCACUGGCCCCGGGAGGCCGGGCAUCCCGCCGGCCUUGAGGAACGCCGACGGCCGCUACGGCACCAUCAAAACCGGCAACGGCUACCAGUACGCCAGGGUGGCGACACCCAAACGGUCCAAGAAGAAGAGCUGGUUCUCCUGCACCAGCUGCCGAUUCUGA
rnacentral:rRNA from 1 species